ACACAUAUGCUAGCAAAGAUCUGCCCAAAUAUCUUCUAAACUUUCCACUGCCUCAGCCCAAUCUUAACAUUUAAGCAAGCGAUACGCUAUCCUGAAAAAUUUAUCAACAAACGGGGUGAGCAUAAAGAGCUCAGCAAGUGACUAACAUAUCCAUAUCAAAAUAGUACAAUUUCCAAAGAGAUACAGUUUCAAAAUACAAGGCAGAAUAUACGAUUUCGUAGACAUAAUAUCAUUAGGAGCAAAAACACAAUUGUCCUUUCAAUCAUACAUAUUUGGUUCAUAACAGAUAGAGCAUAUAGUAAUUGGAGCAUAUCAGAAACAAAGGAAACAUAACAGAGCUUAUCAAUGGCAUAUAAAAUGUUCCGAAGCAUAUCAACGGCAUAUGGAACAUUUCGAAGCAAAAUCGUCGGUGAAUGAAGCAUUUCAGAGCAUAUCAAAAACAAAUAUCGUACAGAAGCUCAAACGUCGUCCUUGACGUCGCAAUCAUAUCAUUUUUAUCCAGAGCAUGAACAGAAACAACUCACCAAAACUCUGGAUGUCAUAUCAAACAUAUAGAAGGUGUAGUGGGAUCUCAGUCAGAAUGUGAUUCAUCCAUCUCGGAAUGACCACCUGACAAAAGUCUCCCACGUCUGGGAGCUCCAUCCACCCACGUCUAGGUGAAGUCAGAGGGGCCGGCAGAGCAUCGCAGGCUCUAAGCACAUACCCUUUACUAUUUCUGGCAAAGGUCCAGAAUAUCCCACACAACGGGACCCCACAUAGCAGGCAAUAAGCGCAUACCCUUUACCAUUUCUGGCAAAGGUCCAGAAUAUCCCACAUAGCGGGACCCCACAUAGCGGGCAAUAAGCGCAUACCCUUUACCAUUUCUGGCAAAGGUCCAGACAAUCCCACACACCAGAGUACAAGAUGGCAGUUUCAACAAUAAGUAGCAUAUAUUGGAAGCACACGCGGAACAACAAAACGUACAUGUGCCUUUUCGAAACAAUACGAAACAAAGAACAAAUAUCUCACAAACGUAUUCAGAUUUGGAAUGAAAUGAAAACAAGAGUGUACAGGGAUUCCAAGCAAUCAUAUUUAGCUCAAUUCCAAUAAAAAGGUUAGACGAAUUCAAAUAUCCAAAGGAAUGGAACAGAAUACGCGAAAUCGACCAAAGCUCGAUUUUAGACAGAAUUCCAGUGGCACAUCAAACAAAUACUUCAGAAUAUCAAUUAUGCUCCAAUACCCAUAAGAAAGCUAUGGUCGAACCAUAUAUCAAUCUAUAUUCUGAUGGAACAAAUUUCAUAUGAAACAGGGUUCCCAACACGGAGUUACCUUUGAUUUGGUAACACAAGGUCAAAAACACAAUCACUGUUUUGCAGAAUUUAUAGGGUCGGAUUCAACAGAUAAUAGGGUAGGCAAUUGAAUUCCAAAAUUUUCAAACUAUAUGUCAAAAGAAAUAUUUUCAAGUCUAGUUUCAAAUAAAAUUAGUUUGGUACAAAUCAAAAUUUUCAACAGAGAGUUAUAGGCAUUUUAGUAUCGACAGGUCAGAAAUCUUGAACCCUGUUUUACAGCAUCUAUAGGCUCAUUUGAAACAGAUGUUUGGGUAAGUAUUCGGUGUCCAAAAUCUACAAAAUCAGU
rnacentral:lncRNA from 1 species